AGUCCCUGUAGUAUAUUAAUUACUCUGGUCUUGUAAGCCAGCAAAGAGGAAAACAACUCCUCCAGAGACU
rnacentral:tRNA from 1 species